AUGGGAAUAAAAAUUGCUGGCUUUCUCACAUGGUCAUAUUUUCAACAGCAGAGCUUAUCCCAACCCUGCCAAGAGCUCUGGCCAUGCCAGCCCUGGGAUCAAGGACUGAUUUUGCAGUGCAAGAAGAGCCAGACAAGACAAGGAGACAACAUCAGGGGAAAAAAACUUCACAGAAUGGCUGAGGUUAGAAGGGUCGUGUGGUCGAACCUUGUGAGACUGCUUCUCCUUCCCUGCCUGCCACCUCUCGGAUCGAGGAGCUCCUCUUCAGCCCUGCUGCAGAAACUGUGCUUCUUGCAGAGGCACGGCAGUUUGCACAGCAGCCUCUGGCACUAAGUCAGGAGCUGACACAGACAGCAGGCUGUCCGAUGGCAUAUUUGAAUGAUGUACUAUUUAAAAGCACAUUCUGCUAAACACUUGCAGCAGUUAAAAGGGACCGGAUGGCAUGCAGCCUGGAUCGAUGAUGUUCAGCUGCUCAGGUCAGUGGUUUCUUGGUGAAACCAAGACUGAUGGAUGCUCAUGAGCCAACGGAUGACUCCACUCCAGUGGUAUGGAGCCAGAGAAAUGGCUAAGAGGUGUUGGCACAGCCCUGAAGUCAAAACAGAGGACGUAAGUGGGAUGGGGUGAUACAAACAGGGCCCAGGCUGUGGAAAAGGGUUUGCCUGGCCCCAGUUGUAGCACACAUGGUGCUUAUCAGCCCUGAAGUGAUUUGGCAAGCCCCAAAAUUCACGUGAACAGCGUGUGAAACAAGCAGAUAAGAUUUUUUUUUUUUUUUUUUUUUUUCCAUGAGGAUUUAAAUAAUAAGCUGUUACUGAUGGUCUCUUCUGUCAUCCCCACCUGCAUCUCACAGCGUUGCCAUUCAUAGCAGCGGCUGCUAAUUCCUUACCACCAGCGGUCCGGGCUGAGUGGUGUAGCCACAACCUUCCACCAGGCACAGGUCUGCUUGUGCCUGAGGGGCCAUCAGUGCCCUGCAUGCUCACAAAACGCUUGGGCGGUGUUCACUACCCCUGCCUGGCUUCCUCCUACACCUUCACCAGGCCCCCAGCAGAGGUCGAAGCUUCCCACAGCCCUAAUGGAAUGAAAUUGCAUUUAGAUGAAAUUAGAGGCUUGGAUGGAGACCGGUUGCUGCAGGUGUGCAGUGAAGAUAUUAUCAACUCAGAAAUCUGCAAUGUUGUCAGAUAGUUAACCUAUUGCUGCAGGAAAUCUGCACCAAAAGUUCAGGUUUUCCUUCCUUUCCAACAAAAUGCCCAGCUUUUGUAGUAGCAUUGGGUUUUUUCCUUCCCUUCGCUAAAACAUUCAAGUGUGAAAUGGGCUGUGGAAUGAAGAGUAGUUUACGUAGAGGCUAGUUUAUAUCUGGGGGUAUGAACACAGAUGUGUAGCACUUUUCUUUUGGGUCAGAGUUUCUGGGGAUGGGAACAUGGCAGGGAGAAAGGUUUGGCCCCAUGCUGCAGGUUCCUGUCAGUUACAUGGCUGCAGUUUCCUCCUGCCCCUUUUACUUCAAAGCUGCAUUCACUCCAGUGACAUUCAGGCUGCCUAGUGUUCAUCUAUGAAUAAGAAGAGCUGAGUUAAAUGAUAUGAUGACCAUCCAUUUAUUUUAUUUUGCCCACUGGUCAGUGUGGUACAGCAGGCGAAUGAUUCCUUCCUUCUCUGGUUCUCCCUGCCCAAGUUAUUGGAUGGCUGAUAAGCUCUUAAACUACUGAAUUAUUUAAAGUUUUCUAUCUUAUGGCUUUCUGGCAUUAGGAACCCAACCUCUAAUCAUGUAUCCUGUUUUUUAAUGUAACUACUUAUUUUCAAUUUUUAUCUUGAUAGGAUUCAUUGUUAUUUCCUUGCUUUUGAUUGCUCUUUCAAUCAUGUAGAUGGGGUGCUGCUCAACAGAGCUUGUGUGUGCAUGUGUUACAUAUGCUUGAGCAGUUGGAACUGGUAAACUGAGGACUGUUCACAAAAUGUACUGAGGCACCCAUAGAUCAGCCUGACAUCUAGAUUAUUUUCAGCUCAUUCUGCCCCGCAAUAUUGAUGGCCCUGUCAGUAAGAGCUGUGGCCACUCUGCCUGGUGCUUCUGCAGUCCCGUGGUCAGCGUUCCCGUUCCUUUAGGACAUCUGAAACAACAAAGUGUUGGCGGAAAAACUGUCACGUUGUCCUUACUUGAUUCAUCAACAUGAGAACUCCUGUUGGCUAUGUCUGUAGGGGCAAACUCGGGACACCGAUAGCCUUUGAGUAGUUUGUUAUGAAACCCCGCUGACAGGAUCAGUCAGCAUCAGUCGUGGGCAGGAGCCGAGGGGUGGCAGGGAGCGAGGGGCUGGCCUGGGGACACGGCUGUUCUUGGGUGUUGUGAGGAUGGACAGUGAACACGGAGGUAUUUGCUGGAGGUAUUUGCUCAUUGGAGGGGUCUGUGCUGCUGCAUGCAGCAUAGGCUGCUCCUGGGGCUGCCCCUACGUUUUGGUGAGCGGGGCAUGUCCUGCUAAAGCUAGGGAUAGAUGAAUGGGGCUUGCUUAAUUGUAUUAAUGAUUUCUAAAUAAAACAAUCAUAAUUAUUAAAGCCA
rnacentral:lncRNA from 1 species